rnacentral:rRNA from 1 species
GAUGAACGCUGGCGGCGUGCCUAAUACAUGCAAGUCGAGCGAACAGACGCGGAGCUUGCUCCUUUGACGUUAGCGGCAGACGGGUGAGUAACACGUGUAUAACGUACCUAUCAUACUGGGAUAACCUCGAAAAACCGGCGAUUAUCGCGGAGAAGCUAUUGCAGCGCGGGGGUCAAUGGUGAGAGACGGCUGUUGUGUAUGGUCUCGCUGCAUACCCGCCGGAUUAGCUGGUUGUUAAGGUAACGGCUUAUCAAGGGAACGAGGCGUAGCCGACCUGACAGGGUGAUCGGCCACACGGGAACGGAGACAGGGUCCAUACUACUACGGGAGGCAGCAGACGGGUAUCGGCGGCAAUGGGCGAGAGCCUGACGGAGCAGCGCCGAGUGAGAGAUGACGGUCUUCGGAGCGUAAAACUCUGCUAUUGGGGAAGAACAACUGUGGAAGGAGAUGUGGACGGCUUGACGGUACCUAAUCAGAAAGCAACGGCUAACUACGUG